GAUGAACGCUGGCGGCGUGCCUAAUACAUGCAAGUCGAGCGAAUGGAUUAAGAGCUUGCUCUUAUGAAGUUAGCGGCGGACGGGUGAGUAACACGUGGGUAACCUGCCCAUAAGACUGGGAUAACUCCGGGAAACCGGGGCUAAUACCGGAUAACAUUUUGAACCGCAUGGUUCGAAAUUGAAAGGCGGCUUCGGCUGUCACUUAUGGAUGGACCCGCGUCGCAUUAGCUAGUCGGUGAGGUAACGGCUCACCAAGGCAACGAUGCGUAGCCGACCUGAGAGGGUGAUCGGCCACACUGGGACUGAGACACGGCCCAGACUCCUACGGGAGGCAGCAGUAGGGAAUCUUCCGCAAUGGACGAAAGUCUGACGGAGCAACGCCGCGUGAGUGAUGAAGGCUUUCGGGUCGUAAAACUCUGUUGUUAGGGAAGAACAAGUGCUAGUUGAAUAAGCUGGCACCUUGACGGUACCUAGCCAGAAAGCCACGGCUAACUACGUGCCAGCAGCCGCGGUAA
rnacentral:rRNA from 1 species